CGGCCUCGCAACUCAAUUUACGGCCCUCAUUAUCUCUUGCUUCAUUACCCUACAAUUGUGGAAAAGAUUGUGCUUAUAACCCCUCUGCCAUACGCAUCGACCACGAAUGCCUGCUCACAUCCACGUCUGGGAACCAACUUCAGCACUACUAGGUUGUGCUAGGGAUGGAAGGAUGCUGAGCGUGUAGGUUAUUUGCUGCUCGGAUUGGCCACAUUACAUCACAGACUGCUCUCCGGAUCGAAAGGUUCUUCAACUUCUGCUAAGUAGGCCUCUUGCUCCUC